rnacentral:lncRNA from 1 species
AUGGCUGACUCCAAAGCACUUACGUUGGGAUCCACAGUGGAAACUCUUCUAAUCUUUUAUCAACAACCAGAUGAGAAGAUACAUCUGCUUCUACUUCUAAGAGUUGGUGAUUCUCAUCCUUCUCUCUGCACUUGCCCUUGCCGUGUCCUUGGUCAGCACAGAGGAAGGACAACAGCCCAUCUCCCUCACAUCGGAAGUGGCUCCACAAGUUGGCCUUCACUGCCAUCAACCCUAACAGAUGCAACCAGAUAAUAGAAAUUUCCAGUCUCUCAGCUUCCUCCUGCUGCCCCAGGUCUGCUUAUCAAGGCCCUGCCCAUCCUUCAAAGUCAGAAGUCAUCUCCUCCAUGGAGUCCUCCAGGUCAGUCCCGCUGGUAUUCAUUUCCUUGCCUAUGGCCUAUCUCAUUACAUUGUUAUUGCUGCUAAGGUAUUUGACACAUUCUGUUUCAUAUUAACUACUUCCUGUGACGAGCACCCUUCUUUCGUGUAAUUUUGAUAAACAUUCAUUGAGCAUCUAUAAUAUGUGGGCAGAGAGCCAGGCAUGGGGAGGAGCUCGGCAGAGGUACAGAGAUGAGUGAUGUGGUGUUUACUCUGGAAGAGCUCAGGGCCUGGUGGGGAGCCUUGAGGUGGCAAGUCCCACCAUGCACGAUCCAUCUCCAGCAGUGUCUACGGUUUCCAUGCACACCAGAUAUAGAUGCUAAUACAAAUGAAGCCGU